rnacentral:rRNA from 1 species
GACGAACGCUGGCGGCGUGCUUAACACAUGCAAGUCGAACGGAAAGGCCCUGCUUGCAGGGUGCUCGAGUGGCGAACGGGUGAGUAACACGUGGGUGAUCUGCCCCUUACUUUGGGAUAAGCCUGGGAAACUGGGUCUAAUACUGGAUAGGACCAUGCUGCAGGUGGUGUGGUGGAAAGAUUAGUUUCGGUAAGGGAUGAGCUCGCGGCCUAUCAGCUUGUUGGUGGGGUAAUGGCCUACCAAGGCGUCGACGGGUAGCCGGCCUGAGAGGGUGGACGGCCACAUUGGGACUGAGAUACGGCCCAGACUCCUACGGGAGGCAGCAGUGGGGAAUAUUGCACAAUGGGCGCAAGCCUGAUGCAGCGACGCCGCGUGGGGGAUGACGGCCUUCGGGUUGUAAACUCCUUUCAGCCAUGACGAAGCCCUUGUGGUGACGGUAGUGGUAGAAGAAGCACCGGCUAACUACGUG